CCGGACCGGCCCAGCCUGUAAAGGAAGGGGUCACCAACCGGUCUCCGGGAGCCCGCCCGGCCGCACUGCGCCGAGAAGGGAGAGGCACCUGGAGACGGGUUAGAGCGGGACAGACAAACGGACCGACACGCAGACGCUCACAGACGGGGCCGAGGAUUCCCGGUCGGUGGGGAAAUGCUGAUGGACCCCUCCUCCCUCCGGUGUGGGGACGUCUGGGUCGCAGUCGGGACUCGGGAGCCCACCCCGGGAACGUAGUCCCGGAUGAAUCAGACCCGUCUGGGCUGGGACAACGCAGGUGCCCGCCCCCCUCCGAGCUCAGAUGGGACAAAGCCAUGAGCGGCGGACAGGAGGGAAUAAAAAAGGAACCGUACUACUACCGACCAAGGUUUCACGUCUGGCAUGGAGCCUUUCCGCUCAUUGUUUUAAGGUUCAAGUAUAAUAAAAAGUGACUAAAUGAAUGAC